GUGCUCACUUCAGCAGCACAUAUACGAAAACUGGAAUGAUACAGAGAUUAGCAUGGCCCGUGCACAAGGAUGACAUGCAAAUUCGUGAAGUGUUCCAUAUUUUU